GUACAUCAUAGUUCAUGCCCAACACCAUGCUGAUAAGUAUUGGGCCCAAAUUGUCUUACAAUUACAUACGCCCACAGUAAGAUGUACUUAGCACACUUAGUACAACCGAGAUGGCAGUGUUCUUUGCAUACAUACAAAAUUACAUCACUUGCAUAGCAUUACUGUUACAUAACAACAUCUCAUCCAAGAUCAGGAACGAUGAAGAAGUCCUCGUCGUCAUCGGGUAUCUCCACCCGUGGCUUCUUGCUUUGGCGUGCACCGCUCGCCUUGUAGAGCCCCAUGUUGCUCGCUGGCUGCGGCGAGGCGAAGAGCUCAGGCACCUCCGCCGCCGUGCUGCCUCCCUUGGCCGGCGACUGGACAUGGAACAGGUCGAUGUCAUCGAGCCACUCCAGAUCCUUGAACCCAAUAGGAGAGCCCUUCUUGUCGCUGGACUCGUAGUCGGAGAGCUGCAGGAGAUCCUCGACGGCCCAGCCCGACGGCGGCAAGAACGGUGACGACGGCACCUCCUGCGCCGCCGCGGACACGGCCGGCUUGGGAGCAGCAGCAGCAGCGAUGCCGCUUGCCGGCGGCUUGGAGUUCCCCUUGGGCGCUGGCGGCGGGAGGUGGUCGGCGU
rnacentral:misc_RNA from 1 species